UCGCGCCAUUGGUAGCCUCGAAAGGCAGCAACCGGGAAGAGGGAAGAGAGAUGGGAGAGAACGCGAGAGCACGGGCAAAACUAGGGUUUCGGGUUGUCUCGCGGAGGCGGAGAGGCCGCAAUCCCUCGUGCUCUCCGAUCCUCCGGAGCCCCCGCCGGCCACGGGGAGCUCGCCGAUCCGAUCAACCGGGGUUCCGGCCUCCGGCCCCGCUUCGGCGGGAGGUUUACUCGUAUCCGCUUCCCCUACCGUCUCGUCUUUGCAUUUCCGCUCGCUUCGAUUUCGCCGUGGCUUGAUGCCUCUGAUCUCUCUCGUUUUGCUUGGAUUUUGCCGUUGGCCCGAUGAUGAUUGCGAUUUAGACCCUCGCGAAUCGAUCGAUUGGUUGGUUGGUUGAUGGAUGGAUAGAUAGAUCGGCUCGGAUUUGAGGCUCGCCCUUUGCAUCUGCAAGCGGGUUGAGGUCCCGAGAAUGGCUAGUACGGCGUUGGCUCCUCGAUGAUCUGGGCGCUGAAACAUGCUGGGGGGGUCGGAGAGGCACUGACAUGUGGGCCCGCCCACGCGGCAGGAACAUGGUUUACUGCUGCUUCUGCUAUACUAUAAAACCUGCUCUUUUUCUUUCUUUUUUCUCCUCUUCCUCCUCCUCCUCCUCCUCUCUUGCCACCGCUGCGGCGGGUCGUCGUCGUCGUCGUGCAUCAUCAUCAUCGUCCUCUUCUGCCGUACCCUUGAGACAUGCUCCAGUGCCAGCGUCGAGGGCCGCCGCAUUAGCCUAAGAUGGAAAACGAAGUUGUGAAAUCUGAGGGCCAAUUGGUAAUACAGACCUUUCUGUCUUCUCGUUUGGAUCUUUCGGUUUUGUUGCUUGCCUCUCUGACUCUCUGUGUCUACUUAAUAGCCUGAUGUAAUGCACGAAAUUGGUCCAUUGCCGUGUAAACAGCACGCACGUAAUGUAUCAUGGUUGGAGAUGUCUGAGUGAUUGAUCUUCAGAACGGUUCACAUCUCUCCACUUGUCUAUUGCUAGCAAUUGCAAAAAUAUCUCAACUUAUGCUACUACAUUGUUUCUGUUUUUUGUGUUAACAUGCCUCGUCGAGUUCUAAUUUUGAUUUACAAAUUGGAUGCCCGUCUCUUGUGUCAUCUUGAAAUGCAGAGGUGCAUUUAUGUCUUAAGCCAGAGGGCAUUAGGAUCAUACUGUUACAUACGUUCUGGUUCAUCCUUGUCUCAUUUUGUAUUCCUUAUUAUUUUUUAUCAUCUCCCGUAUAAUGUGAUGAAUCAAGAGCCUGCAAUAGGCAUGAUCUUGACUACCAUCUGGUUCAUAUUAUUUUUUUUCUUACCAUGUUGCUUUGGUUGGUAGUAGCAUGAUGAUGCAUUGCCCAAUGAUGAAAACUUACUAUGCAGAGAUGGCACAUGGUUUCCUCCUCCUCCUCGGCUCCUCCUCCCCCCUCUAUCUCCCCCCUCAUGUGACAGCAGCAGCAGCAGCAGUUGGGAAUUGCCAUCAAAAGGAUUUGUCUGGAAUACAGGUACCGCUAAGUUUUAGCGGGAAAAUCAGAUACCAUAUAUGUUGCCAUAAAUGAAAUGCAUAAGUGAGUCUUGAGGGCAUAACAUUCCUUGCAAAUGCACAAGCUGUAUGUUUUUUCGAUAUUUUUAGUCUACUAUUGCCCAUUUUACCACCUCAACUUCCUGGUCAACCCCAAACUACAUGUUCAAGAACUAUCAAAGUUAUUGCAACUCAUCCCAUUGCUGAAACCAAUCCGGUGAAAUGCGUACAAAUGGACGUAGUGGACCCGGUGAAAUGCUCAAUUAGCACAAUAAAAAUUUGCAUGGCUCCUCACAUCAUACUCAAAACACACCUAGGCAGCAAAGAAACUAUUUACGUGGGUACAAAUAUUGAAUGGUCACUGUUUUUUAACUUGCGGACUUGAGCAAGAGUUGAGGGGGUUAAUCAAAAUGGACUUAGUACUUUCAAAAUUUUGUUCCCUGCAAGUUUGAAUAUGUUGGCUUGAUGAGAGGCUUUUCAUUUGCACUUCCUUCAGUACAUUUUUGCUGUGGUUUGUGUAGGUUUGUUCUGUUAAACUGUUUAUUGUGUUUCUACUCUAACCUUUCUGUUUGUUGCUCGGCCAGUAUUUUCGUCUCAUUUUUAACUGAUAGACACCCAGCAGAGCUGACUCUUUAACUCUUCCCAGAUGACGGUUCCUAGAUACUCUUAUUGACUUAUUCUAAGUCAGCUUGUGUUUGUGCUCCAAGUGAUAAGUUCGACACCUUUUCUAGGCUAGAGCUUCUGAGGGUUUUCAUUCUGCAGAUUGACUAGUUUAUUACUUUAUUUACACUGUGAUAAGUUCAUUUGUUAUUUUUUUCAUUGCCAUGUUAUUUAUUUUGUUCAAGAAACCAGAGUGUAUUGAAGUGGUACCUUUUGGACUUCAUGACAGUCGUCCAUAUCAUAAAACCAAAUCACUAUCCACUUAUGAGCCAUGAUAUUUUGAGAAAUAACUCAUUUGCUUCCUUUCUUAAUCCCCUUCAUACAAUCAAUCAAGAACGUGACUUCCCCUCUUUUUUAUGACUUUCCUUUUUAAAAAAGGAAAAUUCUCACUUGCACGAUUUCCCCUCCUUUUCUCUUGGUUGAAGUUUUCCUUGUUCAAGACCACGUAGUCAUAUAUGUUUCCCCACCUUUGCAGAGCAUCUGGAUUUGAUUCUGAAUUGGACCAAUGUUUUAUUUGAUUCAGACUAGCAAUUUCACCUAAAUUUAGUACCUUCUGCAGUAGAAUAACAGGUACCAUGCUUUGAUUUAGUUGAUUUAAAUGCCCAGUGAUGAAACAUGAUUUACAGAGAUGGUGUUUUGCUUCCUGGAAGUGCUGUAUGAUCUGUAUCCAUCCAUCCGUCCUCUCUCUCUCUCUCUCUCUCUCUCUCUCUCUCUCUCUCCUCUCUCUCUCUCUCUCUCUCUCUCGUACAUGUCAUCAUUUGGAAUGGUUCAUUCCAAUGAUUGUGCAUGUGUAGCUAGCUAGCUUAACCUUCCAUCAUCAUUCCAGGAAUUCAUUCAGCCUCACAUUUCCUUGCUCACAAUUUGAGGCUGUCUCCUGCACCAUCAAUGGAUACUGUGUAUGUGAGUUCUGAGGGCAUUAUUUUUCUUAUGGCACGUUUGCCAGUUCGUUUGAGAUGAGUCCAUCCAUGGAUGGUCCUUUUUCUGGUGCACCUGUCUCUUAUGCAUUUCGCUUGUUUCGUUUUCACUGUGGCAUGGUGCCUCUGAUCUCUCUCGUUUUUGCCUGGAUUCGCCAUUGGCCCAAUGAUGAUUGUGACUAAGACCCUCGUGAAUCGAUAAAUCGAUUGGUUGAUGGAUGGAUGGAUAGAUAGAUCGGCUCGGACUUGAGCUCUAAUGGGGUUGCCCUUUGCAUCUGCAAUGGGUUGAGCUGAAAAUGGCUAGUGUGGCGUUGGCUCCUCAAUGAUCUGGGCGCUGAAGCAUGCUCAGGGGUUGGAGAAACACUGACAUGUCGGUCCGCGCAAUUGGCAGGACCAUGGUUUCUGCUGCUGCUUCUGCUUUGGAAAAGUAGCUCUCUUUCUUUCUUUUUCUCUUCUUCUUCUUCGUCCUCCUCCGCUCCUGCCACUGCUGUGGCAGUUGUCGUCGUUGUCGUCGUCAUCGAUCAUCAUCAUCCAGUUCUGCCGUUCCCUUGAGACAUGCUUCAGUGCCAGCAUUGAGGGCUGCCGCAUUAGCCAGCCUAAGAUGAAAAACAAAGUUGUGAAAUCAGAGGGCCAUUUGGUAAUAUCGACCUUUCAAUCUUUUUGUUUGGAUCUUUUAGUUUUGUUGCUUGCCUCUCAGACUCUGUGUCUCCUUAAUAGCCUGAUGUAACUCCCAGAAAUUUACUAUCUGACGGAGUUGGUCCAUUGCCGUGCAAACAAGUACACACUUAAUGUAUCAUGGCUGCAGAUGUAGUGAUUGAUGUUCAGAACAAUUCAAAUAUCUCCACCUUGUCUAUUCCUCGUAGAUUCAAAAUACCUCAACUUAUGCCACUACAUUGUUUAUCUCUUUUUUGUGUUAACAUAUCUUGUCGAUAUUCCUUCUCUCAUCUAGUUUACCACCUUUUUUUAUUACCUCCUGUAUAAUACGAUGAAUCAAGAGCCUGCGAUAGCCAUGGUCUUGAUUACCAGCAGGUUCAUAUUUCCAUAUUUUUACAAUGUUGCUUUGCUUGGUAGUAGCAUAUCUAAAUGCAUUGCCUAAUAAUAAAAACUUAAUAUGCAUAGAUGGCACUUGGUCUUCUCUCCUCCCUCAAAAUCCAUGCACGAGUAGGGAAUUUGUCAUCGAAGGAUCUGUUUGGAAUGCAGGUACUGCAUAAGUUUUAGCGGGCAAAUCACUGACCAUAUAUGCCAUCAAUGAAAUGCAUCAGAGAGACUUGCCAUCAAUAAAGUUUCCCUGCACAUGCACAAGUUUUUCACCAAGGUUUAGCACUACGUAGGUGCCAUGCUUUGAUUUGAAGCCCAAUGAUGAAACUUGAUAUACAGAGAUGGUGUUUGGCUUUCUGGGAAGUGCUGUACCCAUCUCUCUCUCUCUCUCGCUCUGUGCGUCUCUCUCUCUCUCUCUCUCUCAAAUAUGGUAACGGAAAUGGUUUGAGCAUUUUUCCGACCGUUUUCAUCCCCAACUCGCACACAUCAUCAUUCCCAUGCCUGCAUAUUUGCAGCUACCAACCUGUGCCCUCAAAUAUAAGGCUGUGUACUUUACCAUCAUCCCAGGAAGUGGUUUAGCAUCACAGAUCCUUCACACAAUUUGAGGCUGUCUCCCGCACCAUCGAUGGAUAUUUGUAUGAGCUCUGAGGGCAUUCUUGUUACCAUUUUCAUGUUUGCUUGAGAUGAGUCCAUCUGUGGAUCGUCCUCCCUGGUAUUUAUGUAAAAAUUCGUAAUAUGUGAUGCUCUCUUUAUCUCGUUUAUAUUUGAGAAGCUUUUGCCGAUGAUCAUGUGGCCAUGGUUUAGAGAGAUUAGAACUGGCCUACCGUUAAUGUGAUUUUUAUUUUUCGUCAAAUGUAUAAUCUCGCAGAGGACUCCUGAGGAAACUAUAUAUCAAGUCUGUGCGUUCCUUUUCA